CAGGACAGUCUGUGAGCUGAGUUUCUACAUCACCACCUUGGCAAGUUUCACUUUUAACCCUGAAGUGCUCCCUGCUGCCAUCAGGAACCCAGCAUUGCAGCAUGCCACUUUCAGUCAUCACCAAGAAGUUUACAGCUCAUGACAGCAUCCAUUUUAUGGUGUAGCCAUUUGUUAAACUCCUUCAAGAUUGAUUAUCUCCAGCUUUGCUGAUGGGUUUGCUUGCCAGUUUUAAUAUGCUUCUUCAUUCCUCCGAGCUGCUUGCAGUUUGCUGAUUGGCCACAUCAUUUAGCAGGAGGAGUUAAUUGUGAAAGACUUGCAAUUUUACAUAGGCAAAUGGCACAAAUAUUAUGCAUUACCAUUACAUCUGGAGGAACUCCCCUGAAGUUAAACCAGACUUGGACAAUUAAAAACUGA